GAUGAACGCUGGCGGCGUGCCUAAUACAUGCAAGUAGAACGCUGAAGGAAGGAGCUUGCUCUUUCCGGAUGAGUUGCGAACGGGUGAGUAACGCGUAGGUAACCUGCCUGGUAGCGGGGGAUAACUAUUGGAAACGAUAGCUAAUACCGCAUAACAGUAGAUGUUGCAUGACAACUAUUUGAAAGGGGCAAUUGCUCCACUACCAGCUGGACCUGCGUUGUAUUAGCUAGUUGGUGAGGUAACGGCUCACCAAGGCGACGAUACAUAGCCGACCUGAGAGGGUGAUCGGCCACACUGGGACUGAGACACGGCCCAGACUCCUACGGGAGGCAGCAGUAGGGAAUCUUCGGCAAAGGACGGAAGUCUGACCGAGCAACGCCGCGUGAGUGAAGAAGGUUUUCGGAUCGUAAAGCUCUGUUGUAAGAGAAGAACGAGUGUGAGAGUGGAAAGUUCACACUGUGACGGUAUCUUACCAGAAAGGGACGGCUAACUACGUG
rnacentral:rRNA from 1 species